GAUGAACGCUGGCGGCGUGCCUAAUACAUGCAAGUCGAGCGAACGGACGAGAAGCUUGCUUCUCUGAUGUUAGCGGCGGACGGGUGAGUAACACGUGGAUAACCUACCUAUAAGACUGGGAUAACUUCGGGAAACCGGAGCUAAUACCGGAUAAUAUUUUGAACCGCAUGGUUCAAAAGUGAAAGACGGUCUUGCUGUCACUUAUAGAUGGAUCCGCGCUGCAUUAGCUAGUUGGUAAGGUAACGGCUUACCAAGGCAACGAUGCAUAGCCGACCUGAGAGGGUGAUCGACCACACGGGAACUGAGACUCGGUCCAGACUCCUGCGGGAGGCAGCAGUAGGGAAUCUUCCGCAAUGGGCGAAAGCCUGACAGAGCAACGCCGCGUGAGUGAUGAAGGUCUUCGGAUCGUAAAACUCUGUUAUUAGGGAAGAACAUAUGUGUAAGUAACUGUGCACAUCUUGACGGUACCUAAUCAGAAAGCCACGGCUAACUACGUG
rnacentral:rRNA from 1 species